GUCCUGCUGUGACGUUGGUGACUGCCAAAAUGUUUUUUUGAUCUAUAACUCUAAAAACAAGGGAACCCCUUAGAAUCGAGUGGCAGUAUACCGGGCAUUGUACCCGGAAACUUGAAGCUCGGCAGUGGUGCCCACCUGGCUCGUCCAGGUCAAAAACUGAGGUAAGACGGCGUUGCGGUUGGGCU
rfam:Arthrospira platensis NIES-39 DNA, nearly complete genome.